GGACGUAGGCGUUCGCUCCCAACCCCUGUGACAUACCACUUGUUGCCUCGGCGGAUCAGCCCGCUCCCGGUAAAACGGGACGGCCCGCCAGAGGACCCCUAAACUCUGUUUCUAUAUGUAACUUCUGAGUAAAACCAUAAAUAAAUCAAAACUUUCAACAACGGAUCUCUUGGUUCUGGCAUCGAUGAAGAACGCAGCAAAAUGCGAUAAGUAAUGUGAAUUGCAGAAUUCAGUGAAUCAUCGAAUCUUUGAACGCACAUUGCGCCCGCCAGUAUUCUGGCGGGCAUGCCUGUUCGAGCGUCAUUUCAACCCUCAAGCACAGCUUGGUGUUGGGACUCGCGUUAAUUCGCGUUCCUCAAAUUGAUUGGCGGUCACGUCGAGCUUCCAUAGCGUAGUAGUAAAACCCUCGUUACUGGUAAUCGUCGCGGCCACGCCGUUAAACCCCAACUUCUGAAUGUUGACCUCGGAUCAGGUAGGAAUACCCGCUGAACUAAAGCAUAUCAAUAAGGGGGGAGGAA
rnacentral:rRNA from 1 species